UGUGUUUCCUGUAGUUGCCUCUGGCGCGUGGGCCUAGCUGAGCGGAGCCGGCGCGAUGCCGCGCUGGCCCGGCCUCCCAGCCCCACCAUGGGCCCUGCGCAGACCUGAGGGUGCCGGGUAGGUCGGGAUCUGCAUCCCGGGUCGCCGCGUGUGGGUUGGGUGUCCGCUGCUCUGAUGAUAAUUGUAAUAGGAAGUGCCGUCCGAUUCGACAACUGACGACCUCCCUUCUUAAGCUGACCGCAGUGGCACAAGCCACAGCGAUGACUGCUGAUCACGAGUGUGCGAAUGUCGCUGCACUCUUACCCUUUUAACCUUUCAGAUGGGGGAAUUAGCCGAACGUCGAGUAGGAGCAGUACCCCACCAUGAGGUCGGAGAUUUGGAGCGCAGGACUGUCAGCAGCUGUGGCCUCCCAUGAGGAUUGUGUUCAUUUCCUCAAGUUUUGAGAACUGAAUGCUGGAAUGCAGCCUGUCUUGGCAGUACUGGUGAAUGAAGGAGGAGGCUCUGUCCAGAGGAGUCAACAGCAACAGGGCUACCAUCAACUGAAAGCUAUCACCUUUUGAGCAUCCUCAUGAAAGUACUCCCAAGUGUGUGUCUGCCAACCUUGUUCUGGUCAGGCACAUUUGGUCAUCCCACCCCACAGGAGCUUCUAAACCUCUUAAUAAAUGCUUAUU